UACAGAGGUCUCAAGCGUUGUUCGGAUUCAUUGGGCGUAAAGGGUGCGUAGGCGGCGCGGUAAGUCGGGUGUGAAAUCUCGGAGCUUAACUCCGAAACUGCAUUCGAUACUGCCGUGCUUGAGGACUGGAGAGGAGACUGGAAUUUACGGUGUAGCGGUGAAAUGUGUAGAUAUCGUAAGGAAGACCAGUGGCGAAGGCGGGUCUCUGGACAGUUCCUGACGCUGAGGCACGAAGGUCAGGGGAGCAAACGGG
rnacentral:rRNA from 1 species